CCUACGGGUGGCAGCAGUGAGGAAUAUUGGUCAAUGGACGAGAGUCUGAACCAGCCAAGUAGCGUGAAGGAUGACUGCCCUAUGGGUUGUAAACUCAUUUUAUAUGGGAAUAAAAUGUUUCACGUGUGGGAUUUUGUAUGUACCAUAUGAAUAAGGUUCGGCUAACUCCGUGCAAGCAGCCGCGGUAAUACGGAGGAUCCGAGAGUUAUCCGGAUUUAUUGGGUUUAAAGGGAGCGUAGGUGGAUUGUUAAGUCAGUUGUGAAAGUGUGCGGCUUAACCGUAAAAUUGCAGUUGAAACUGGCAGGCUUGAGUACAGUAGAGGUGGGCGGAAUUCGUGGUGUAGCGGUGAAAUGCUUAGAUAUCACGAAGAACUCCGAUUGCGAAGGCAGCUCACUGGACUGCAACUGACACUGAGGCCCGAAAGUGUGGGUAUCAAACAGGAUUAGAUACCCUUGUAGUC
rnacentral:rRNA from 1 species